CCCGGGGACAGUGGGAGCCGCAGGGCUGGGAGAGACACGCAGAGUCUGUGAGGACAGAGAAGAGAAGGAAUGAGCGCCUUGCCGCCACAGCAGUCCCCGUUCUGUGAGAAAACGACAGGACAGAGGCCUCACGUCAGGCCUGGACGUGGCCGCAGGGCCCGGCACCCUGAGCGGGGGUUCCUGCCACACUCCCCGUCACCCCCACCCUGGCAGGCCUGGCGAUCCCGCGGAGCACACACUGUCCUCCGGGGAUUACACGGCGGGAAUGCACCUCGGGAGAAGUGCUACAAACGCAAGCCUUUCACUGUGGAACAACUUCCACGCGAGGAAGACACAGGCGUCGUGCUAAGAUGCAGACGUGCUUGAGAAAGGCCACCUUCGGAAGGACCUGACGGAGCUCCCAGGACUUGUUCAGCUACUCAAAUACCAAGCAUGGAAGUGGCCAGCCCACCACCAACUUAGUAUGUUUCCAAAGAGAACCUGUCUUGCCGAGGGAGAGAAGCCAGAGAGCAGAAUUCUUCUAGAGGGACUGUUCCAGCCACACGCCCAGCCUGGGAAGGGGCAAACAAGGCCACAAAGGUCACGGCCCAUCUCUCCACCCAGAGUCCUGCCUCCUCAGUGACAGCUCUGCCGACCAAGCAGAGACACACCCAGGAGCUCCAUCGGAAAAGACAGCAGCAACAAGAGGAGCCAGACAUGCAAGUUCCCAGACUCUCAUAACACAGGAUUUUCACAGGGAGGGGUGGUAUGAAAAGUAACAGGGGUGGGCGAAUUUAAAAGCUUUUGGGCUGGGAAGGUGCUGAAAAGCAAAGGUUGAGAAAUGCUGCAAACAGAAGAACUCUUUUUACUUUGGCUUAUCAUUUCCAGCUCUCAUCCACAAACAUGUUGAAAUUUCUGCAUUUGGGCGGGGGGUGUGUAGCUCAGCAGUAGCCCAUCCACUUACUAUAGGUGAGGCCCUGGGUUCAAUUCCCAUAGGACACAUUUUUAAAAAGUAAAUAAAAAUUAAAUUGUUG
rnacentral:lncRNA from 1 species